CGUCAGCUCGUGUCGUGAGAUGUUCGGUUAAGUCCGGCAACGAGCGCAACCUACAUCCUUAGUUGCCAGCAGUUCGGCUGGGCACUCUAGGGAAACUGCCCGUGAUAAGCGGGAGGAAGGUGUAGAUGACGUCAAGUCCUCAUGGCCCUUACGGGUUGGGCUACACACGUGCUACAAUGGCAUCUACAGUGAGUUAAUCUCCAAAAGAUGUCUCAGUUCGGAUUGGGGUCUGCAACUCGACCCCAUGAAGUCGGAAUCGCUAGUAAUCGCGUAACAGCAUGACGCGGUGAAUACGUUCCCGGGCCUUGUACACACCG
rnacentral:rRNA from 1 species